CCUACGGGUGGCAGCAGUAGGGAAUAUUCCACAAUGGGCGAAAGCCUGAUGCAGCGACGCUGCGUGGGUGAAGAAGGUUUUCGGUACGUAAAGCUCUGUCAGCAGGGAAGAAAAUGAGGGUACGUAACUAAUAAGCUUUCGCUAACAACGUGCCAGCAGCCGCGGGAAUACUAAGGGGGCAAGCGUUAUCCGGAUUUAAUGGGUGUAAAGUUAGCGGAGACGGUCGCACAAGUCUGGAGUGAAAGCCGGGGGCUUAACCCCGGAACUGCAUUGGAAACUGUGCAGCUAGAGUGCAGAAGAGGUAAGUGGAACUCCUAGUGUAGCGGUGAAAUGCGUAGAUAUUAGGAGGAACACCAGUGGCGAAGGCGGCUUACUGGACUGUAACUGACGUUGAGGCUCGAAAGCGUGGGGAGCAAACAGGAUUAGAUACCCUUGUAGUC
rnacentral:rRNA from 1 species